rnacentral:rRNA from 1 species
GGAGUCUGNAACCCGACUCCAUGAAGCUGGAUUCGCUAGUAAUCGCGCAUCAGCCACGGCGCGGUGAAUACGUUCCCGGGCCCUUGUACACACCGCCCGUCAAGCCAUGGAAGCCGGGAGUGCCUGAAGUACGCGACCGCAAGGAGCGUCCUAAGGUAAAACCGGUGACUGGGGCUAAGUCGUAACAAGGUAAC